AAGGACGUCAAAGUUUCUGGAGUCACAAAACGCGUGGCGACUGACCAUCGUUUUGAUGUCACACCUGUUGAAGAGUGGCGUGCUUGGUGUGAUUAUGUGCGUGCAUUUUCUAAAAAUUGCAAAGCUAAUGUUGCGACAGUCCGACCAGAUGAUUGUCAGGAUGCGCGUCCUUAUCUAAAUGUUGAAAUUGGUGGUGUUCCGUGUUCUGGAUUGUUAGAUUCUGGAGCGGAAAUUUCUAUUCUUGGUGGUUCUGCUGUGAAUUAUUUUUCUCACCUGGGUGAGUUGUAUAAAUCGGAUUCUACUGAUGCUGUGGUAACGGCGAAUGGUUCGACUUCCCCUACGGUCGGAUAUAUGUUUUUACCUGUCGUAGUGAAUGAGGUGUUGAAGGUUAUAAAGUUUUAUGUGGUUCCUGGAGUUUCGUCGUCUUUGUUGUUUGGCAUCAACUUCUGGAAAGCUUUUCAGAUAGCGCCUGAUGUUUUGCGACUUAUGAAUCGGAGGGAUUCGAUGGUUAGGCAUGCUGAAGCAGUCGUGUCUCGGAAGUUGACUGGUGAUGCUGGUAAAGUUUUUAAACACCCGAAGGUUCGUCGUAGACCCUUCCAGUGUGUCAGCGUUGGUUUUGUUGGUCCACUGCCCAGGUCUCGACGGCAAGUGUUUGAAGUAGAUAAGCAAUUGAGGAAAUCUCACUUGCGAGAUGCUGAUUGGUAUAAUAGGCGUCGGAGAGAUGUCGAGUUUGAGGAAGAUGAUGUGGUUUGGCGGAGUACGCAUGUUCGUGGUGUAGCUCCGAGAUUUAAAAAUUAUGUAGAGUAGAUUGAAGUUUUGUUGAGGUGUUAGUUUUUUUUGUUGUGUAUUGUGGUGGUUCUGUUUCUGUAUGAUAGGAUGAUGCUGGAGGGCCAGCGUGAAUUUUUCUCGUUAUCCUCGUAAAAUUCUGGUGGGUGAGGGGGUACUGUAACACUUUUUUUUUGGCGAGAUUGAAUACUUACCGAUUUCCACAAACAAACAUUCCAACGAACCGUAAGGUCACAUAUUACAAAGUGCGCAGUGUUUCCUUUGUCACUUGAUUGUGUCAUUGUUAGUGAUUCACUGAGUUUUGAUUAACUUCUAUUAAAAUUAAUUACAUUGUUUUGGUACACAGAGCAAUAAAUAACCUCACUUUUUGAAUGUCUCCGUUUGACAGAUCAAUGCGUUACGUUCCAUUCUUUUAGUAUAGAAGAAAUGUAUAAUGAAAUUAAAUAUUCAACACUAAAUUUUUAUAAAACUUAAUAUUUAGGCUCUUUAAUUUAAAUUCUAGCUAUUUCUAGUAUUUUCCUCAAUGUUUAUAUUAAAAUAACAUUGUAAUGUAUCUUGAUCGAUCAUGGGUUCGGAACGUUCUAGAAAUUUGACAUAUUCUGAGCGAAACGAAACGCGCGGGAGACGGUCCGAAUACUGUGAGUGACGUUUCUUCUGUUUCUAAAAGUUAAAUAAAUUAAUUAAAUUUAAAUCGGAGGAGCAGUUUUGUGAGUUCUCAUAUCAAGAUUAUUCAAUAAGAGGCUGGUUGACUCAAAUAGAACUUAUUAGAAAAAGAAAUAAAAAAUAAAAACGAAGAAACAUUUUUAUGGUUUGUUAUUGUUGGGUUCGAUUCGGACCACAAGUCACGGGUGAUGACCGGCGCUUUUUGGAGUGACCUUUUUUUUUGCUCGACCGGCCGUGCGCUUGGACGGAAGUUCGUUAGUGUGUGGUGUUGUGGCAUUCUGAGUCGGCCCUAAAUGUGCCAUUCCCAACUCAAACGGGCAGGGCACGCAGAUUAUUGUUGUUGAAAUAAAGGAAUUCCGGUUGGACACCGAAAUCCCGCUGUUCGCCGAUUUUGCGGACUCACUGCCACGUGCUGAGUUCUGUUACUGAAGGUAAGCAGGUCCUAUUCCAAGGAUUACCUUGAGUUUCUUCUUGUUAUUUUGUUGUUUGCAUUGGCGGCAUUGUUAACCAAUGCACCUGGUUGUUAUUCGCAGAUUGUGUGUGGUUGGGCAGUGCUCGGUGGCGAGCCUCUGCGCUGUUGCUGUCUGUUGUUGAUGUUGCUGAUGUUGCCUCCAUAGCAGGAGGUGUAUGGUACCGGCUGCUCUGUUGGCACCGGCUAUCAGGUGUUUGGCACCGGCUGUCCCGCAGUGCCAGACGCUUGCUGCGCCCGACGGGUGCGGAGGGGGUUGAGCCGAGUGGUGGCGACUAGCGCGCUAGUAAUCUUAAGUAUUUUUAAUCAGUACCAACCAAACGGCCCAACGACCCAUCCCUUAAUUUUUCUUUUUAAAUAUUUGUGUCUAACCCACAAUUAAAUUGUUGUCAAUUUAAAAUA